UACGAAGGGGGCUAGCGUUGCUCGGAAUCACUGGGCGUAAAGGGCGCGUAGGCGGCCGAUCAAGUCAGGGGUGAAAGCCCAAGGCUCAACCUUGGAAUUGCCUUUGAUACUGUUCGGCUAGAGACCGGAAGAGGUUAGUGGAACUGCGAGUGUAGAGGUGAAAUUCGUAGAUAUUCGCAAGAACACCAGUGGCGAAGGCGGCUAACUGGUCCUUGACUGACGCUGAGGCACGACAGCGUGGGGAGCGAACAGG
rnacentral:rRNA from 1 species